rnacentral:rRNA from 1 species
CCGCGGGAUUAGAGUUUGAUCCUGGCUCAGAACGAACGCUGGCGGCGUGGAUAAGACAUGCAAGUCGAACGCUGAUUUCAGGGUAGCAAUAUUUUGAAAUUGGAGUGGCGCAAGGGUGUGUAACACGUGGGCAAUCUGCCGUGAAGCCUGGGAUAACUUGCUGAAAGGCGAGCUAAUACCGGAUGUGAAAAUUAGAAGGCAUCUUUAGAUUUUCAAAGUUGGGGACCGCAAGGCCUGACGCUUUGCGAUGAGCCCGCGGCCUAUCAGCUAGUUGGUGGGGUAAAAGCCCACCAAGGCUAAGACGGGUAGCUGGUCUGAGAGGACGACCAGCCACACUGGAACUGAGACACGGUCCAGACACCUACGGGUGGCAGCAGUCGAGAAUUUUUCUCAAUGGGCGAAAGCCUGAAGGAGCGACGCCGCGUGGGGGAUGAAUGGCUUCGGCCCGUAAACCCCUGUCAUUCGGGAUCAAUGCUUGUAUUCUAACACAAGACAAGUUGAUAGUACCGGAAGAGGAAGGGACGGCUAACUCUGUGCCAGCAGCCGCGGUAAUACAGAGGUCCCAAGCGUUGUUCGGAUUUACUGGGCGUAAAGGGUGCGUAGGUGGUUGGGUAAGUUUGAUGUGAAAUCUCCGGGCUCAACCCGGAAAUGGCAUUGAAUACUAUUCGACUAGAGGGUUGGAGGGGGGACUGGAAUACUUGGUGUAGCAGUGAAAUGCGUAGAUAUCAAGUGGAACACCAGUGGCGAAAGCGAGUCCCUGGACAACUCCUGACACUGAGGCACGAAAGCUAGGGGAGCAAACAGGAUUAGAUACCCUGGUAGUCCUAGCUGUAAACGGUGCACGUUUGCUGUAA